UCUCCGUUGGUGAACCAGCGGAGGGAUCAUUACCGAGUUUACAACUCCCAAACCCAAUGUGAACCAUACCAAACUGUUGCCUCGGCGGGGUCACGCCCCGGGUGCGUCGCAGCCCCGGAACCAGGCGCCCGCCGGAGGGACCAACCAAACUCUUUCUGUAGUCCCCUCGCGGACGUUAUUUUUUACAGCUCUGAGCAAAAAUUCAAAAUGAAUCAAAACUUUCAACAACGGAUCUCUUGGUUCUG
rnacentral:misc_RNA from 1 species